AAAAAGACAAACUCUGGUUUCCGUGCCCAACGUUUAACCGUCCGUCUUAUUUAAAAAAAUUAUGAAAAAAAUUAAAAAGACAAGUCACGCAUAAAAUAUUAAUCAUGUUUUAUCAUCUAACAAUAAUGAAAAUACAAAUUAUAAAAAAAACCAUAUAAGUCGGACAGUUAAAAUUGGACAAAAAAACCCAGUGUUUGCCUUUUU
rfam:Oryza sativa (indica cultivar-group) chromosome 9, whole genome shotgun sequence.